rnacentral:rRNA from 1 species
GACGUAGGGGGCGAGCGUUGUCCGGAUUUAUUGGGCGUAAAGCGUGCGUAGGCGGCUGCGCAAGUCGGUUGUGAAACCCCGGGGCUCAACCCCGGAACUGCAUCCGAUACUGCGUGGCUAGAGGUAGGUAGGGGAGAUCGGAAUUCCUGGUGUAGCGGUGAAAUGCGCAGAUAUCAGGAGGAACACCGGUGGCGAAGGCGGAUCUCUGGGCCUUACCUGACGCUCAGGCACGAAGGUCAGGGGAGCAAACGGG